rnacentral:rRNA from 1 species
GAUGAACGCUGGCGGCGUGCCUAAUACAUGCAAGUCGAGCGAACAGACGAGUUUCUUGCUCCUCUGACGUUAGCGGCGGACGGGUGAGUAACACUUGGAUAACCUACCUAUAAGACUGGGAUAACUUCUGGACACCGGAGCUAAUACCGGAUAAUAUAUUGAACCGCAUGGUUCAAUAGUGAAAGACUGUUUUGCUGUCACUUAUAUAUGUAUCCGCGCCGCAUUAGCUAGUUGGUAAGGUAACGGCUUACCAAGGCAACGAUGCGUAGCCGACCUGAGAGGGUGAUAGGACACGCUGGAAGUGAAAGAAGGGCCAGACUCCGACGGGAGGAAGCAGUAGGGAAGCUUGCGAGAUAGGAGAAAGGAUGACGGAGCAACGCGGCAUGGGUGAUGAAGGUAAUGGGAUCGGAAAACACAGUUAUUAGGGAAGAACAAAUGUGUAAGUAACAAUGCAAGUAUUGACGGUACCUAAGCAGAAAGCAACGGCUAACUACGUG